rnacentral:misc_RNA from 1 species
UCUCCGUAGGUGAACCUGCGGAGGGAUCAUUACAGAGUUCAUGCCCUCCGGGUAGAUCUCCCACCCAUUGCUAUAACUACUCUCGUUGCUUUGGCGGGCCGCUGGGCCCUGCCCGGCCGCCGGCCCCGGCUGGCGCGUGCCCGCCAGAGACCUCACAAACUCUGAAUGUUAGUGUCGUCCGAGUAACUAUACAAUCGUUAAAACUUUCAACAACGGAUCUCUUGGUUCUGGCAUAGAUGAAGAACGCAGC